AGAGAUAAAGAGAGCCUUGGAAAGAAAAUUCAAAACCCAAUUGAAAAAAAUGGGGGUGGGAUCCUAUUAUCGCCAUCAUGGCGGAUCGGGCUGGCUAAGUGUGUGUUCCCUUCUUCUCUUUGUCAUUCCAUGUGAAUGUCCCAUGCAGAUGAGCACAUAGUCAAAGAGGACAAUCUUCUCAGGUAGGGGAGACCUGGUCUUCAGUCUGGAGUGUAAAAGCAGCUGUGCUCCCUGCUGGAAUUUCCAGACAAAGUCUCACCCGUUGUCCGUACCAGCUGUCAUAUUGCUUCUUUACAUCUCUAAUGUAUGAGUCCUU
ensembl:misc_RNA 7SK 7SK RNA